GGUGGGCAGGACACCAGCAGAAGAGGGUGCACUGGUUAGCAGAGCUGAUCCCCGGGACAUCCAUCAGGCAGCACCACAGUGGUGGUAGAUGAGAUGACUGACCUGCUGGUUAGAGUGGAACUGACUAGCGGUUGUCUCUGGGGCAACUGUACACCUGUUUUUGCAAAAGACAUCUGCUUCUUCUGCAGUCCAACAGGAAUCUUUUUUAAGAUUGAAGAAAAUGAAUGUGUUCAGCUGGUACUGUGAUGUUUGAGUAUGAAGAGAGAAAGGUAUCUUCAGCUGUUGUCAGUACUCUCUGUGUGUGCAUGCAUGCCAUAAUUGUGACAGCUCAGAGUUUGGGGAAUGCACGCUCUGCCAAAUAUGACAAUACUGUUUGGGAGCUGACACAGGAGUAAAUAUUGUAAAGUACUGCAGCAUACGUGCAUAUCUGCAGGAUAUCGUUUUCCUUACUGAUCUGAGUAUGCAGAGACCCAACCAUAUUCCCAUUAGACUGGUCAUGCCCAGCACAUGGCUCUUUGGGGUUCCACAUGGCUCUUUUGAGUUCUCCAGUAUGAUUACAGCCUCGCACGUGCUCCCUG